GAGCGCGGCUCGGCGCGGCCCGGGCCGAGCGAGAGGCUCUGUGGUCCCGGGACGCCGGAGCUAUUUCCCUGACCGUGUGGCCACUGUCCCCGAAAAUUCUUUUCCUCUCCGAGCAGCUUCUCACCCUCGCUCCGCACGCCGUCCCCAGGAAAGAGAAAGGAAAGCCAGUUGAACAUCAGCCUUUACCUCUCUCUGCUCCCUGUGGAUGAAUAUGGUGAGCAAUAGCCUCAUGCUUCUGCUGCAUGCCUUCCCACCGAUGGACUUUAUCCUAAAUUUCAGGUGGAAAAUCCCAAAGAGAGAACUGUCCAGAAAGAGCCCC